rnacentral:sRNA from 1 species
AAGACUAUACUUUCAGGGAUCAUUUCUAUAGUUCGUUACUAGAGAAGUUUCUCUGAUCAUGUAGAACAUUUCAUAUGUUA